CAGUAGCCACGGGAAUACGUAGGGUGCGAGCGUUAAUCGGAAUUACUGGGCGUAAAGCGUGCGCAGGCGGCUUUGUAAGACAGGCGUGAAAUCCCCGGGCUCAACCUGGGAAUGGCGCUUGUGACUGCAAAGCUAGAGUGCGGCAGAGGGGGAUGGAAUUCCGCGUGUAGCAGUGAAAUGCGUAGAUAUGCGGAGGAACACCGAUGGCGAAGGCAAUCCCCUGGGCCUGCACUGACGCUCAUGCACGAAAGCGUGGGGAGCAAACAGGAUUAGAUACCCGAGUAGUCCCUGUCUCUUAUAA
rnacentral:rRNA from 1 species